AAUGCCAGUCUCUGAGAACAAUAUCCAGCCUUGUACAACAUUGCUCGCGAUAAGAACAAUACUAUUGCGCAGGUGCUCAGCUCAUCCCCACCGAAUAUUUCGUUCAGGCGGGAUUUGGAUGGCGCCCGACUUAUGUCAUGGCAUAAUCUCUUAUCCCGUUUGGAUCUGAUUAACCUGACGCAAGGCCGUGAUGUGUUUCGCUGGAACCUUACUACAUCGGGGCCUUUCACGGUAGACUCUAUGUAUCGUGCGCUCACGCAUUCUAAGGUACCGGAGAGCAAUAACAAAAAAAUCUGGAAGGCAAAGAUUCCACUAAAAGUUAAAAUAUUCAUGUGGUACCUUCGUAGAGGUGUUGUGCUAACCAAGGACAACCUUGCACGACGCAACUGGCCAGGAAGUAAGAAGUGUUGUUUUUGUACUCAUAACGAGACAAUCAAAGACCUAUUUUUUCAAUGCAAGUUUGCGCGUUCUACGUGGUCAGUCAUCCAAAUAGCGUCAAAUUUGUAUCCGCCCACAAGUGUUGUCAAUAUUUUUGGUCAUUGGUUGGACGAUAUUUCAAAUAGGUUCAAAACGUAA
rnacentral:rRNA from 1 species